rnacentral:rRNA from 1 species
AGUGAACGCUGGCGGUAGGCCUAACACAUGCAAGUCGAACGACAGCACAGUAAGAGCUUGCUCUUACGGGUGGCGAGUGGCGGACGGGUGAGGAAUACAUCGGAAUCUACUUUUUCGUGGGGGAUCACGUAGGGAGACUUACGCUAAUACCGCAUACGACCUAUGGGUGAAAGCAAGGGAUCUUCGGACCUUGCGCGAUUGUAUGAGCCAAUGUCGGACUAGCGAGUUGGCGGGGUAAAGGCCCACCAAGGCGACGAUCCGUAGCUGGUCUGAAAGGAUGAGCAGCGACACUGGAACGGAGACACGGUCCAGACUACUACGAGAGGCAGCAGUGGGGAAUAUUGGACAAUGGGAGCAAGCCUGAUCCAGCCAUACCGCGUGAGUGAAGAAGGCCUCCGGGUUGUAAAGCCCUGUUGUUGGGAAAGAAGAGCAGCAGGUUAAUACACCGAUAUUCUGACGGUACCAAAAGAAUAAGCACCGGCUAACUUCGUG